UGCAGUAGGGAAUCUUCCACAAUGGGCGCAAGCCUGAUGGAGCAACACCGCGUGAGUGAAGAAGGGUUUCGGCUCGUAAAGCUCUGUUGUUAAAGAAGAACACGUAUGAGAGUAACUGUUCAUACGUUGACGGUAUUUAACCAGAAAGUCACGGCUAACUACGUGCCAGCAGCCGCGGUAAUACGUAGGUGGCAAGCGUUAUCCGGAUUUAUUGGGCGUAAAGAGAGUGCAGGCGGUUUUCUAAGUCUGAUGUGAAAGCCUUCGGCUUAACCGGAGAAGUGCAUCGGAAACUGGAUAACUUGAGUGCAGAAGAGGGUAGUGGAACUCCAUGUGUAGCAGUGAAAUA
rnacentral:rRNA from 2 species